UAGGGUGGUUAUAGCAUUGGGGCUCACCUCUUCCCAUCUCGAACAGAGAAGUUAAGCCCAAUAGCGCCGAUGGUACUGCAUUUAUGUGGGAGAGUAGGUCGCCGCCUUUC
rfam:Polaribacter sp. KT 15 genome assembly, chromosome: I